AAUAAUAAUUUCACAACCUACACUGUUGUGCUGUCAAUCUUGUAUAUUCUUUUAUUUCAUUUGUUGAAACCGAUUGUCCAAUCAUAUGUGUGAGGGCGGGACCUAAGUGAGGCAGGUGAAAGGUCAGGUUAGCCUGCGGGGUUCGGCUGCUAGUUUUGCUGUGCUAGAAGGUUGCUGAAAGAGCUAAGCUAAAGAGAAACGUUGAUAAAUAUACGUGCGGAUGCAGAGUCUACUUUAUUGUUUUGGACUGUUGAACCUCCGGUGUACCUGGACUCUUCCGACGUUGAGUUUUGCCAGUGUUUUCCAUGUAGCCGGCGCUGUGAGGCUCUCAGCUGUUCAGUGGUACCCCUUGGUCACGGACAAGCCCUCAUCCAUGGCCUCUCUUCCUGAUGACCUGCUGAUUGUCCCCGUCAAGCGGGACAGAACGGAUGGCUGCUGGUUGUCUGCCUUGUCUCACUCUGAGUGCACUCGGAGAGGAUUUGUUGAAGAUUUCGUGACCUUUUCAGGUCCUCUUCUGCGUAACUGGCCCCAUUUUGCGGCUCGCUGAUACUCUUGUUAUGGCCACCUCUGCGGUUAGAUUAAAUCUUCCUCUGCUUUGUUCCGUUACACUCUCACCGACUGGGUCACACAAAGAAGCCUUCGUGAAGGAGAAAGCAAUGGCGCUGGAGCCAACAGACUUCACAGUCAGGUCGCUACACGGUGCCAGGUGAUGAUUUUUCUACGUUUACCUUCAACAAAAAAUAGAUCAUAAAUGUAACAUUUUGUAAAUAAAUUUUCUUAAUGGAAACCUCCCAAUUUCUAAAUUCCAAGAGUUUGAAAGGUGUUUUUUUUUUUUUUUUUUUUGCAAAGCUGUUAUGGGUACACCUUUUUUUUUUUUUGGGUUACACAAGUCACGUGAUUAACAACCGGAUGUUGCCACUUGCGCAGACCGCGAAGAAGACAACAGGAAGUAGUUGGAAGAUCAUGGUGCUGCGUGUUUUAAAUUGUCUUGUAGGGCAGUGGCUUAAAUAUUUAAAUAUGUCAGCAGAAAGAUGUCAUAAUUGUUCUUUGGGUUGCAGCAGUUGAAGUAGUAGUUUGUCUUUUAAUGAACACCGUACUUUGGCUUCUGCUACAAUUUGUUCACUUCUGCUACGUGAACAAAUUUAUUCACAUGGGAUUUUAAUUGCCUGCGAAGGACUGGCGACCCGUUCAGGGUGUACCCUGCCUCUCACCCGUUGACAGCUGGAUAUAGGCACCAGCACCCCUCCCGACCCCAACGGGGUAAAGGUGUAUGAAAAUGGAUGGCUGGAUUGUAAUUGCAUUUCUUAUUGAAUGGAAAUCCUGCAGUUGUGGGAACGCAGGUACUGUCCUGCUCUGUAAUCCAAUUGUGUUUGAGCUUAAAGCCAGACCUUUUCCUGAAGGACUGUCACACAGAGAGCAGAGUUUGUGAUUCAGUCAGUUAUGACAAAUCAUAAAGCAGCCCCAGACAACCGACCGGUGGACAUCACCAGCUGCCUUAGGGCAAGAGACGGGUCGCCAGGGGCAAAACAGAAACACACAGGACAAACAACCAGGCACACACACUCUCAUACCUCCAGGCAUUUCAGAGAGGCUAAUUAAGUUAACAGUCAUGUUUCUGGAUAGUGGGAGGUAGACAGAGAACCCAGAGAGAACAUGCUAACUGCAUGCAGAAAAACCGCAAUCUGGGAUUCGAACGCAGGAUUUUCCUGAAAUCAUGAUCUGGAAAAUUGCGUAGAUUGUUUGUUUUUUUUAACGUUUCUGCAGCACAUUUUUGUCUAAUAUAAAAAUUAGAUUGGUCUAAAAAAUGUUUUGGGAGGCAACUACUUGUCCACCCUUAGUUAGUUUCAGCUAUUUAAGCUAAGGGCUCUGCUUUCCCAGACAAAUAUCUAAUCAAAUCAAAAUGUAUUGCAUUUACAGCAAUCUCAUCUGACCACAUUGCUUCACAAUAAUUACAGCAUCAUAGAUGUUUGAUAAAAUCAGAAAUAAAUUAAGUUUGAUUAAUGAAUUUAUAGUAAAAUAAUAUGAAUCAAAUCAGACACACACUUAAAUUCAGCUGCAGCAAUUUCCCAAAAACUAGAAUCAAUUACUAUUUUUUUUUUUUAUUCUAAUCUGUUUAAUAAGAUGAUUAAGAGCAGUAAGGUUGACCCAAAACAGUGUACUGUUGGUAGUAGAAAAAAAAAAAAGAUAUAAAAAAUCUUUAACCUCAUUCAGACAGUUGCCACAAAAACUGACCAGGGAUUAACCAUUCAGACAGUGGUCAGAAUGUUUCAAAUCUCAGGUUAGAUUAUAAUCUUUUAGAUGUCAGACUCUACACAAACUGUUAAAAUCAGUGGAAUUUGAAGUGAAUACCUUUAUGAUGCUUAAUUAAAAAUACCCAUAUGCUUUGUUGAUAACACCAGCUAGCAGAGGCAGUCUGAAUGAUCUUUACCAAGAAACUGCACAAAUAAUUAAAGAAAAAAAGGAUGACAGUGCCUACUGAACUUUGAUUUCCCAUCUAAAUAGAAUCUGCAUUCACUGUGACACAAUUAGGACGUUCUUUUAGGUGGAGACUCUAUUCUGUAAAUGGGACACAGCAUGAUGGAGAACAAAUACCAGUUAGCUGGGGGUUUUUUGUUUGUUUUUUUUUACUUUAAAAUGAAAAAGCUAAAGUAUUUUACUGCUAAAACACAUCAGCUUUUUCUUUCCUGUUUCCGGGAUGUAAAAACUGUCAGAACUGCCGGCGUUUUGUGCAUUUUGCCAUAGGAAAUGGAAAAGGAAUAAAUGUGAAGGAGUAAAAACUUUUGUAAAAAGGUCUGAUUUGCUCUUUUCACAACCAAUCAGCAAUGAAGCUGUUUGCUGUAGGCAAUAAAAGGACAAAUGUCAUUCUCAAAACCUCGUUAGUCUUGCUUGUUAAAUUCCAGUUUGAAGUUUGUAAUGUCCAUUAUUGAUUUUCACAACUGUUGACCGUACAAUGCGUUUGGUUUUUUUAGAAAUGUUUUUACAAUGCAAAGCACUUUUAUAAACUUGAUUGAUUGACUGCCAAAGUAAAGACCACUGCAAGGCAGCAUGGAGGUACUAAUUAAUUUUAGAUCUGAAGCUUAAGCACAUGUAGUAAUGAAGCAGGACGAUGAUCCAAAGCGCACCACCAAGGUCAUAUUUAAAGAACUUUUCAGAGUGGUCACUGAACAAACUCAAACACCCUACAAUAUGGCCUGGAGCAAAAGAAGGGUGGACCAGAAAGGACUCACUGUCAGUUAUUGCUGAAGGUCGAUGACUUUUGCAAUAACUGUGUGUUGAUCAGCACAGCCUUUCCAACAAGUUUCAGUCUAGGUGGUAAUUCCUUUUUCACACAUAGAAAAAUUUCCUUUAGUCUUUUUUAGUAUUGACACAAAUGAUGUUAAUUAGAUUUUUUUUUUUUAGCUAGCAAACUAAUUUAUUUUUCUUACAGAAAAUGUAGCCUUAGGAGAAAUUGUUAUUUUUUUUUUUUACAUUCUCGAUUCGUCCUUCCUGGUCAAUAAGAAUCGAGUCAUCAACGGAAAAUGAUGAAGAACCGUGACUGAGAAAACACAAGGAAAUGAAGGACGGAGACAGGAGGGAAGACAGAUGAAGGCGAGAGAGUUAGCGAAAGAAAAGACAUUAAUGGCGGGGAUAAAAAUAAGAACAAGGGCGGGUCCUUAGUGUGGCGCUCUCCUCUAGUGCACAGAGGGUCUUUGGAGCAAAUCUAAAUCCUGAUAGUAACUUAAAUAGCUAUUAAAUAAAAAGCCAUUUAUUACCCCUCGCAUAAAUCUGUGCAAGCACAGUCUGUUUGAUGUGCAAUCUUCUUUCUUGCAGUCAAAGUAGUGAACAUAAAAAAAAAAAAAAGAGGAAAAUAAUAUUAUGGGGGAACAUUUAAGGUCACGGAAGUAGAGGUAUGAAAACAAUCUGUGGAAGUUACUUAUGGCACAGAAAGGAAAGCAUCUAUACUCUGUUCAUCAUUACAUGAAUGAUGCAGGCUAAAAAAAAGUCACAAGGGUCAUUUAUCUCUUGAGGAAGGAAUACACCACAAGAACUUGCAAACCAAUUCUGCCAGAAACCUGCUUAGCAGUCGGGAGAAGGACUAGUUUACGAUGAACGAUGUCUGCUUUGGUAGAAAUCUGAUAAGUUUCCAUGGUAAAAGCCCAGGAUCAUCAUUUUCCUUGUCAUUCCACUGCAUGGCUUUGCUAAAGAGAAUAUUUAGCCCUUGAGAAAAACGUUUAUACUAUUGCUUUUUGUUAGGUUGUGAAGGCAGGGAUCAGCAUUCAUGGCACCCAAACAUUGGCAUUUGAAACUGGCUUCUUUGUGACGGCAGUUAAUUAAAAAAAGUGUGAUUUAUAUCACUAAGCCCCACACAGUAACAGCAUUUAAUCAUUUCAGAUUUACUGAAACGGUGGAGGAAGUAGUAAAAAGUACAUUUUUUAUAAUUCUGUCAGUUUUGUUUCAUUUUUUAAAAAA